UACUGUCAGAUAUCUUGACUGGAAUAGUAGUUUUGUAAGUUCUUCCAAGGAGGAUCAGCAAAUGGAUGGAAUGUGCGGCCUGUGGCCAUGUUAUGAAAAUCCCAGUAAUUGGUUUCCAAGUGCUCCUUUGUAUGCGCUUAGAGGUACACGGGCUUCUGGUUUCUGGACAUGGCUUCUUGGUUGGAUGCCUUAUAACCCCCAUAUGUAGUGAUUAAAAUUUCAGGGAACACCUACUGAUGCUAGAAAUAUACGUCUACCUCAUCUUUUUUCUCCUCUUUUCGUACUUCAAGGAGCUGGUGUUAUAUUUGCUGCUUCUAAGUUGGUGGAGAAAUUUGUGCUUUACUGAAAAAUGGGGCUGGCUCAGGAAGAUAUUUUACAUUCUCUUCAAGAGCUUAUGACUACUUGGAUUUCUUGCAUCAUGGUUCCAGGUAAGGCAGGCUUGUUUAUCAGGAGACAAACCUUCAAGGCAUGAACUUACCUCUUUUUAAUCGGUACAAGUGUCCAAUGCUUGGGAAUCACUGAAUUAGUAACUCUGUACUUCUGCUUUUGCAAUCUGUGAAGUUUAGGUUAUUGGGUUGGUGGUCUAUUGAUGAAGGAAGUCAUGAGGAACAGGCUCGACUUUUCCAAGAAGGGGCUUAUGGGUUAUCGGUGUGGUUCCUAACAGGCUACAUGGGUGAUUCAUGCUCUUUUGAUCAGAACGCUCAGGUUAUUUGGGUGAUUCUUGAUGUAAAGUUGGGUUUCUAUUUCUGGCUGGUUUGGUGCGUUAUUUAGUCUCAAUCUGUCAGGGCUUAACUUUUGUUUGCCGAUUAAGGUGGUGGUUCAUGGUGCUGAUUAUGUUGAUUCAUGGACGAUGAACAGCGAGGAUUAAGGUUCACGAGCUGAGACAGAAAUCGAAGGCGGAGCUCUUGAACCAGCUCAAGGAUCUCAAGGCCGAGCUUGCUCUCCUCUGUGUUGGUAAAGUCAAGCAACCAUUCUCUUUUUCAUGUAUGUAUGCGUAUCCUGAGUUAUAAUUGAAUUUUUUUUUUUUUAGUUAUUAUAUGAAGCUGUGCUUAUGAAUUCGAUUUUUUUGUGAAUUAUUCAUAAAUCAGGUUAGGAUUGACUGAAAUUUGUUAAGUUGCUUAUGUUGAUAGAAAUCUUGCUUUUGUCAAUUGAAGUCAUCCACUGUAUUUGUAUCAUUCAGUGUUCAGGUGUGUAAUUGGAGUGAGGAAAUCCAUCUACCUGCAGCUCGACUUUGUGCUUCUGGGCUGGUUUUUUUUUUUUUUGGUGUUUCCAGGACAGAUUGAAAGGCAUGAGUACAAGAGAGAUCAAAUCACCAGAGGACUGCCAAAUACACCAGCAAGUUUUGAUGGAAACUUCGAUCAUUGAAGCAUGGCAUUUGGAAAUUUUGAUCAGAGACGCGCCAUUGACAUUUUUUAUGGGCUUGGUUUCAACAAACAUGUGCAUGCCAACAAAACAGGUGGCUGCAUUAAGAGUAUUGCAAUAGCACUGAGUUUUUUAUGAAUCUAAAAAUGUUGUUACUUCAUGACCCUACCAGUUAUGCCAAAUACAAAUGUUGCUUUUUGUCAUUCUAUCCAAUUUCCCCCUGAAAUAAAUACUGUUUUCAACUUUGAUCUAGAUCAUAAUAACUAUUAUUAAUUUAUACAUAUUAUCAACGUUAAUUCUUCUCAUGUGUGCUUUCAACUACUUUGCCAUUUCAUCUCAUGGUCAAGCCUUUUCUGCUGUAGGAUCUAGGAUUUUGACAGAAAUGGCGCCAUGAGCUUUGAAGGUAAAUUGAAUGUGUUUCCAUUGUCUUGAGAAUUUUUCUUCUGUGUCAAUUUAAUCCAUUGACGCUGCAAGUUGUAGUAUUUGUUGCGCUCAACAAGUUCCUUCUUAAGGUUAGUUCUUUUGAUAACUUUAAUUAGUUGCUAUUACCUAAUGAGGUUGGAGGAGCAGACUGGAGGAGUAGCCAGCUUAAGUUGCUGACUUCCUGGCAGAGGCUGCUGAAGUUGAUGAGUAAUUGCUGCAGCAGGAUCUGUGUUUUGGUUGGUAUUGUAGGGAUGAGCUUUUAUGGAGUACUCCGGCUUUAAUUGCAUACCUGGCAACGCACUACAGGGGCAAGGGAAUAGCUGUGAAAGAUGUAUUUCACGUUUGUCCGAUUUAUUUCAAUAUAUUUGAUUGUGUUCUGUUCAAUGUUUUCUCCCAUUUUUCUUUAGCAUUGUUUUUUCAAUACCUAUCAAUGCAAUACUUUUUGUAGUUUAUUCAAAGUAAGUGCACUAUCUUUCAUUAAAAGUUUCUUGGGCUUUCUCUGGGUUUUAUUAGUUAUUGAAUGCUAUUGGUUUAUUCAAUUUGGGCAAAUUGAAGUUACUAUUGCUGUAAAGGUAGUAAUGGCUAUCAAGUAAGUGUUGUUUCUUUUAUUUGCAAUGUUCACAUUUCAAAAUUUAUUUUAACUUUCAUUGAAUAUGUUUUUGGUCAAUUAUUAUCAUUAUUCAUUUGUAUUGUCCACUUGGGCAAAUUCAAGGUUUUUUGGUUUGGCUGUAGAAGUUGAAUUGUGAAUUCUUAUUCGUGGGAUGUAAAGCCGGAACUCUUGCUUGGUUAUACCUUGAAUGGUUCACUCUUGCAAUUGUUUGAUAUAUAUGGUGGAUAUAGCUGUUGUGUAUGAGUAGUUGAAUGCUGACAAGCACAACUUCAACUACCAACUUUUUACUUCUAACAGUAUGUAGUGUGUCAUGACUUACCUUGAGAAUUGAAGGAUCAUGAGCUAAUUUGUUUUCUUUGUGUUUUCAUGAUAGGUUGAAAGAUAUAAAUACCAGAGAAAUCAAGUCACCUGAACAUGUGCCGGAGACAUCAGCAAGUUUUGAUGGAAACUCUGAUCAAAACAGAGGGAAGAAGCUUGGGAUGUUCUUCAUAGAAUAUGAUAAUCGAAGGAUGGCUUUUGGGAGAGGAUAAACCGAAGGCACUACACCUCUUAACAUUCAAUGAAAACCCAUUAAGGAUCUGUCGAAAACUGGUGGUUGGUUCUUAGCAGAUGUUUAUUCCUCUAUAUGAUUUUCUUGCUUUGUCACUAACUAUCUCUUACGUUCAUAUUGUUUUUUCUUCUGAUUGUGAGGCUAGAGCCAGGGGGUUUUCAUAAAAAAGUUGGAACCCUGGUUGUGGACUUUUUAUCAGUGAAUGAGCUCUAAAUAUUUGGGUCUGUGCAUAAACUGAAGCUCUAAUUUUUUUUUUCAAGGCACAUGAAUCGGGGCUUUGGCUGAUUCUUUUUUGGUUUUGCUGGCAUUUGGCGAGAAAAUUUAAUGUUUUUGCAUACUGGGUUCUGAAAGGCAAAACAUUUGAAAACUCAUCUAUGUUUUGUAGAUUAACUUUGAUGGUUUAUUGUAGAGUAUAAGAACAUCAGAAGACGAAAAUAGGUAUUCUUCAUCAAGGAGCGAUCCAACAAUUCCAAUCUCUGAUUGAAAAGGAUCAAACCCUGACUCAGCUAAAGGAUAGAAAAAUCAGAGGAAUGACGAGGGCUAUGUUCAGCCACCUAGAAGAAGCAGCAAAAGAUCUUCAUUUGGCUUCAAGAUUGAAUCAUGAAGACGAAAUUGGUUUGAUACUUAAAAGGUGAUAUGCCUUCCAUCUCCUCUCUACUUUUUCUUAUAUCCUUUGGGUAAACAUGCUAAGAAAGCAAAACAUCUCAAUUUUAGUUGGAAGAUCUACAUUUAACAUCAUUUUCCGUGAAUGUGUAAUCCCUUGAAGUAGUUUUCAUGGAUUAUUAGGAAAACCCGAGGGACAUAUUAUAACCCUUUUCUUCUCUUGGUCAUUGACGUUACAACAAUGAUUUUUUCUUCAAAUUGUUGUAUUCGAAGCUGAGAUGUCCGAAUGGUUUUUAUUGGGGUUCCAAAUAAUUGCAACAACCAGAGUGCAGGGAUUUAUCAAUUGUUGACACAGGCCGGCGUCGUUUCGCAUCUUUUUGCCUGAACCUGAGUGAGCAAUAUGACGCCGUUGUGCAUCUACUCUGACAUAGCUUCUUGAUGAUGCGCUUUGUCGGGAGUGCAUCAAUUCACCCAUGUGUCGUCUUCACCAUCUCACUAUUGCUUCUCCUAUCUAAGCCUGGGUAACCUCUUCGGCUUGCAUGGUUUGCCUUUCGAUCAUCUCUGAUGAUCUCUGAUUUUCUUUUGCUCUCUUGUGGUUUCGUUUUUGCCUUGCGUUAUUUGCCCGGUGAUCUCCGAUUUUAUUUUGCUCCCUUGUGGUUUCUUUUUUGCGUUUUGUUAUUUGCCUUAUUUUCUAAGUGAAGGGUGGGAGCUCCUGGUUCUCCCACACUUCUCUCAUCACCGAGAUCAUCAUGAACAACUUAUUUAGGAGAUUUUAUUGUAUGUGUGAAGCUUAUUUAGGAGAUCGUAUGUCUGCGUGAUAGCAGCUUGAAAAUCCUAGACAUUUUCUGGAUUUGACAGUAGAUAUCGGCUGCCGGAGGAAGUGAUGGUAUUGGUUGUUCUGCUUCUGAUUCAGAUCUCUCUGUUUUGAUUACUACCAAAAGGAGUCUCUGUCCUUCUUAGCCUCUCGAUGAGGGUGGGAUUUUUCCACUGUAAUCUCUGCUCUACCGCCAUGCCCGGGUUAUUUCCUUACCCAAUUGUCAACUAGCUGAUGAGGAGCUGUCGGAGUGCAAGAGAGCCGAGGUUGUUUCAAAUGCUAGCCGUGAUGUUGGGUCUAGCUAUUGAUUACAGAAGGCUUGUGGGUUUGACAUGGGGGAUUUAAUAUUCUUGCUGAGAAUUGCUUGGUUUGUGCCUUUAUUUCAGUUCUUCCCGCUGUAUCUGAUCCUGGAUAUUUCCAUGUCAAGAGAGCAGCAUCAAUUUUCAUCAGUACUAUCUGGUCGUACAGUUGGCUGAACUCAUUCUCAGAUUGCUCCGGGAACUUUUUAAUAGAUAUGGGAAAAUGAGGGAAAUGGCAUGACAGACUUCUUAUUCCCAUUCUUGAUUUUGUCCCAGAGAAGCAGUCAACAGCAGCUCAAUACCUUCUUCAUCUGUGGAUCAAUGCAGGCCCUCGCCUCAUAGGGCCAUCUGUGACUUCUAAAGAAAACCAAAGCCUUAGUCAGGCUUUCUCUGCUCUAUACCAAUUGAUUAUUAUUUCUUUACUUAAAUGUUCCCGCUUUAUUAUUGCAGGCAAGAGCAAUUCAGGCCCAGGAUCAGCCUCUGUCUUACAUCUGUUGAGAAAGGUUUUCUUUUUGGUUUGGUGAGCUUUUGUUUUGGGAUUUUCUUGGCCUGUAGUCUUUCUUUCUUUUUCUUUUUUUUUUUAUGUUUUCAUAUUUGAUAACAUUGAUUUCCUUUGUUAUUCUUUAAGUCGUCUCCCUUUAAAGUUAUAGGUUUUUUUUUUUCCCUAUUGUUUUCCCAGAUUUUAGAUUAAUUUGCUGAUGUUUCCAAGUAAGCCAUAUUCAUCAAAUAAUUUCUAUGUUUUAUUGAAUCCAAUGAAAACAUA